AGCGAACGCUGGCGGCAGGCCUAACACAUGCAAGUCGAACGAACUCUUCGGAGUUAGUGGCGGACGGGUGAGUAACACGUGGGGACGUGCCUUUAGGUUCGGAAUAACUCAGGGAAACUUGUGCUAAUACCGAAUGUGCCCUUCGGGGGAAAGAUUUAUCGCCUUUAGAGCGGCCCGCGUCUGAUUAGCUAGUUGGUGAGGUAAAGGCUCACCAAGGCGACGAUCAGUAGCUGGUCUGAGAGGAUGAUCAGCCACAUUGGGACUGAGACACGGCCCAAACUCCUACGGGAGGCAGCAGUGGGGAAUCUUGCGCAAUGGGCGAAAGCCUGACGCAGCCAUGCCGCGUGAAUGAUGAAGGUCUUAGGAUUGUAAAAUUCUUUCACCGGGGACGAUAAUGACGGUACCCGGAGAAGAAGCCCCGGCUAACUUCGU
rnacentral:rRNA from 1 species